GACGAACGCUGGCGGCGUGCUUAACACAUGCAAGUCGAACGCUGAAGCUUGGUGCUUGCACUGGGUGGCUGAGUGGCGAACGGGUGAGUAAUACGUGAGUAACCUGCCCUUGACUCUGGGAUAAGCCUGGGAAACUGGGUCUAAUACUGGAUACGACAUGUCACCGCAUGGUGGUGUGUGGAAAGGGUUUUACUGGUUUUGGAUGGGCUCACGGCCUAUCAGCUUGUUGGUGGGGUAAUGGCUCACCAAGGCGACGACGGGUAGCCGGCCCGAGAGGGUGACCGGCCACACUGGGACUGAGACACGGCCCAGACUCCUACGGGAGGCAGCAGUGGGCAAUAUUGCACAAUGGGCGGAAGCCUGAUGCAGCGACGCCGCGUGAGGGAUGACGGCCUUCGGGUUGUAAACCUCUUUCAGCACGGAAGAAGCGAAAGUGACGGUACGUGCAGAAGAAGCGCCGGCUAACUACGUG
rnacentral:rRNA from 1 species